UCGAGGAUCUUCGUCAAUGGGCGAAAGCCUGAACGAGCGACGCCGCGUGCGGGAUGAAGGCCCUUGGGUUGUAAACCGCUGUCAGGGGGGAUGAAACCGUAAGGUUGACAGAGCCCCAGAGGAAGCACGGGCUAAGUUCGUGCCAGCAGCCGCGGUAAUACGAACUGUGCGAACGUUACUCGGAAUCACUGGGCUUACAGGGUGCGUAGGUGGCUUGUUAAGCAGGGUGUGAAAUCCCUCGGCUCAACCGAGGAACUGCGCUCUGAACUGGCGAGCUAGAGUAUGCUAGAGGUGAAUGGAACAUCCAGUGGAGCGGUGAAAUGUGUUGAUAUUGGAUGGAACACCAGAGGCGAAGGCGAUUCACUGGGGCAUAACUGACACUGAGGCACGAAAGCCAGGGGAGCAAACG
rnacentral:rRNA from 1 species